rnacentral:rRNA from 1 species
AGAGUGAACGCUGGCGGUAGGCCUAACACAUGCAAGUCGAACGGCAGCACAGUGGUAGCAAUACCAUGGGUGGCGAGUGGCGGACGGGUGAGGAAUACAUCGGAAUCUACCUUUUCGUGGGGGGAUAACGUAGGGAAACUUACGCUAAUACCGCAUACGCCCUUCGGGGGAAAGCCGGGGAUCGCAAGACCUGGCGCGGAUAGAUGAGCCGAUGUCGGAUUAGCUAGUUGGUGAGGUAAUGGCUCACCAAGGCGACGAUCCGUAGCUGGUCUGAGAGGAUGAUCAGCCACACUGGAACUGAGACACGGUCCAGACUCCUACGGGAGGCAGCAGUGGGAAUAUUGGACAAUGGGCGCAAGCCUGAUCCAGCCAUACCGCGUGGGUGAAGAAGGCCUUGGUUGUAAAGCCCUUUUGUUAGGAAAGAAAAGCAAUCGGUUAAUACCCGGUUGUUCUGACGGUACCCAAAGAAUAAGCACCGGCUAACUUCGUGCCAGCAGCCGCGUAAU